AUCAUUACCUAGCCUUGGGGCUCAUUGUAAUAAUGUUCAAAAUUGAGCCGUUUUUUUUUUUUUUGCAAGGGGAAUAUUCACUGCACGUAUUCGCAUUUCCGUUAUUUAAAACGAAUUCCUAUAAUAGAAAAAGGUGUGAAGAAAGACCGUAGAUUGUGCAGAAUGCGGGAAAACGACAGGUUUACGGCGGCAUCAAUACUGCUGUGGAUGAAGCUG